CUUGGUGACAAGAUGAGCUCCAUCAACUAAAGACCCCUGCACAUUUCACAUGCUGGCUCUGCCCUCGACAACUCAAAGCACUAUUUCAAAAAUUCAGUAUCUUAAAUACUUUUUUGAUACAUAUUUUCUAAAUAUCAAGAACAUGUGAGUCCUUUUCACUCCAGCAGAUGCUCAGGGAAGAAGUUAAUGACCUUGGGAGCUGAAGGAAGAAGUUGCAUCUAGCCGACUUCCCCAGGUGGGGGAGUACAGCCCAAAAAGCUCUAUAAACUACCAUUGCUGGCAACACAACCAACUGUUCUGGCAGUAUCUGGAAAAGUUGUUUUCUAGCACAUGAAAAUGUUUUGAUCUUUCUCCUGCUCAACACUCUCCAGAAAGACUACCUGCCUCUUUAUCUUCAAGAGAUGGGGGAUUGCUCUCACGCCUCAUGUCCUACUGAGCAGAAAAGAUGAGUGUCUUCAAUGGAGCUGUCCACAAGGACUUGUAAGCCAUUCUCUGCUUCUAGGAAUUUCUCAUGUGUCCCUUUGGGAAAUUUUUCCUCAGCAGAAACUCCAGAUUUCCAACCUUCUAAGGGUGAAGGGCUGCACUCUGGUCAACUGAGAAGGCAAGGCCCUGCAUUUCAGCUGUGAUUGUGCAAAGAUAUAAGUCCAGGGACUGAAGGAACCGAGGAUUGUAAAAGCUAACCUCAUGAGCAAAGGAGCCUAUAGCAGUGUGUGCCUCUCCUGAUUUUACACCAAGAGUUCUCAGCCAAAUAGCAGCCUUUCUUUCAGAGUGAAAAACAAAGCCUUCUCACAGUGCUUGCAUUUGUGAUACAUCUGUAAAAAGUGGCUUUUUUAGCAUCAGAAAGCAUUUUAAUUGUAGUAAACUGAACAAUGCUGAAAUUGUUUGAAGAGGAGAUUAAAUUUAAUGAAAUUCACAAACAACCCCUUUUAGAAAGUAACAACAAUUUUUGAACAUUAAAGAGGCGCUCAUUAUAUCAAGACAGCUCCACUGUGAAAAGCAGUCUGACUUCAAUCACCGCAUAUCCACAUGUUAAUGAACUUCUGUGUAAAAGCAGGCACCGAGAGGGAAGUAAUAGGAACACUGUCUCCAUGAGUGUUUGCGAGAGAAAAAAAAUCUCCUUUAAUCAAUAAAACACCUCCUCACAUGCACCUUAAUACUGACUGGGACUCUUUCAAAGGACACAAAAGGAAGAUGCUGCUUGAAAGUUUCUUUAAAACAUUACACAGCUUGCACUUUCUUCAGGGUUCACAUGCUGUCAGCAACCCAGCUCCAAAGACUUUCAAGUUCCAACAGACACAGCCUAGUACAGUCUUCAUCACCAUCAUUUCAGUGCUGCCCCUGAUCAAACAGACAAAUCUGAAACUGAAGAAUAAGAGGCGACCAGUGACCUUUGAUUAGGACCAAGAGCCUCCAUUGUAAUAUAAUGCCUCAUUCAUCACUCUCUGGGACCAACAAGGAAGUAUAUUACUAACUGAAAGGAUGUCACUAGCAGGCUUAUCCCUCACAAUGAUUUCCAUCAUUAACUAUUAAAUUUUUCAUUUGUAGCAAGUGGUACCAGGUGUUUUAAAAAUAACCAAAACAUACAAAAGCAGUUUCCUAAAUUGCAAAUAAAUGAAUCAUUUUACCCCAACUCUCAUCUACCUGCUACUGACUUUCAGGCCUUAUUAACUGCAUUGUGCUAAUCUUCCAAAACUCACUCUCCCUUCAAGAAAUAGACAUGACAGAAUAGAGGAGGAAAUGUGGGGGAAACAAGUAACAAUAAAAAUCAUAUGGAAACCUA